rnacentral:rRNA from 1 species
CGCUGGCGGCGUGCUUAACACAUGCAAGUCGAACGGUGAAGCAGGAGCUUGCUCUGUGGAUCAGUGGCGAACGGGUGAGUAACACGUGAGUAACCUGCCCUUGACUCUGGGAUAAGCGUUGGAAACGACGUCUAAUACCGGAUAUGUACUGCGACCGCAUGGUCUGUAGUUGGAAAGAUUUUUUGGUCAAGGAUGGACUCGCGGCCUAUCAGCUUGUUGGUGAGGUAAUGGCUCACCAAGGCGACACGGGUAGCCGGCCUGAGAGGGUGACCGGCCACACUGGGACUGAGACACGGCCCAGACUCCUACGGGAGGCAGCAGUGGGGAAUAUUGCACAAUGGGCGCAAGCCUGAAUGCAGCAACGCCGCGUGAGGGAUGACGGCCUUCGGGUUGUAAACCUCUUUUAGUAGGGAAGAAGCGAAAGUGACGGUACCUGCAGAAAAAGCACCGGCUAACUACGUGCCAGCCGCCGC